GAGCAUUUGGUCUAAGAGUAUGAUUCUCGCUUUAGGUGCAAAAAGUCCUGAGUUCGAUUCUCAGAAUGCCUG
rnacentral:tRNA from 1 species